rfam:Silicibacter lacuscaerulensis ITI-1157 genomic scaffold scf_1113211289287, whole genome shotgun sequence.
GCCUCGGAUGCGAAACUGCCCGACAUGCAGGCCGGGUGGGAGCAGAUGUGUUCGAACGUCAUGGCCGGGCUUUCGGGGUUGAACAUGGUCUACGAAGCUG